rnacentral:rRNA from 1 species
CAGCCGCCACGGGAAUACAGAGGGUGCAAGCGUUAAUCGGAUUUACUGGGCGUAAAGCGUGCGUAGGCGGUUCGUUAAGUCGGAUGUGAAAUCCCUGGGCUCAACCUAGGAAUUGCAUUCGAUACUGGCAGACUGGAAAUCGGUAGAGGGAGGUGGAACUCCAGGUGUAGCGGUGAAAUGCGUAGAUAUCUGGAAGAACACCGAUGGCGAAGGCAGCCUCCUGGGCCUGAUUUGACGCUGAGGCACGAAAGCGUGGGGAGCAAACAGGAUUAGAUACCCGCGUAGUCCCUGUCUCUUAUAC